rnacentral:rRNA from 1 species
GGAAAGAGCCCAGACCGUCAAAUAAGGUCCCCAAUUUAAGCUAAGUGGAGAAGGAUGUUGGAAAACACAAACAGCUAGAAUGUUGGCUUAGAAGCAGCCACCGUUUAAAGAGUGCGUAACAGCUCACUAGUCGAGUUUUCCUGCGCCGAAGGUGUAACGGGGCUAAGCUUAAAACCGAAUUUGCGGGUUACCCCAUUAAUUUGGGGUAGCGGUAGACGAGUGUUCUGUUUUGGCUGAAGCAUGAGUGUGAACACAUGUGGACGAAACAGAAGUAAGAAUGCCGGCGUAAGUAACGUAUGAAAGUGAGAAUCUUUCAAGCCGUAUUGACCAAGGUUUCCUGGGGCAGGUUCAUCCGCCCAGGGUUAGUCGGACCCUAAGAUCAGGCCGAAAGGCGUAGUCGAUGGAUGAUGAGUUAAAAUUCUUAUACUAAUUAGUUUGGUGAUGGAGUGACAGAAAAGGUUAGCGUGAGCAGAUUAUUGGAUUUCUGUUUAAGUAGCAAGUGUGUAAAGUAGGCAAAUCCGCUUUAUUUUCGAAAGAAAAAAUAUUAGCUACGAAUACGAGUGAAAUGCCCCGGCAAAGUAGCGAAGUUACGUGCGAUCAUGUUCUCAAGAAAAGCUUCUAAACUUUAACAAACUAGUUAUCCGUACCGAGAACGAACACACGUGGUCAAGGAGAAUAUCCUAAGGCUAUCGAGUUAAUUACAGUUAAGGAACUCUGCAAAUUAAUCCCGUAAGUUCGCAAUAAGGGAUGCCUAUGCAAAUAGGCCACAGUAAAGAGCAAGGGGGGACUGUUUAACAAAAACACAGCUUUAUGCCAAGUCGUAAGACGAUGUAUAUGAGGUGACACCUGCCCAGUGCCAGAAGGUCAAUGAAGGAAGUUAGUUGUCAAACGAAGCUUUUAACUUAAGCCCUGGUGAACGGCGGCCGUAACUAUAACGGUCCUAAGGUAGCGAAAUUCCUUGUCGGGUAAAUUCCGUCCCGCUUGAAUGGUGUAACCAUCUCUUGACUGUCUCGACUGUAAGCUCGGUAAUCCUGGUGAGAGUGAAGACACUCUCUAGCAACUGCGGGACAUAAAGACCCCAUGAAGCUUUACUGUAACUUAAUAUUGAAAACGUGCAUGGCAUGUAGAGCAUAAGCGGGAGACUUUGAACUUUAAUCGCCAGAUUAAGGGGAGUCGCCAUUGGAAUACCGCUCUUGUUUUGUAUUUUUUCUGACCUAUGCUGGUAAUCACGGCAGGGGAAAGUGUUAGGUGGGCAGUUUGACUGGGGCGGUCGCCUCCUAAAAGGUAACGGAGGCGCGCAAAGGUACCCUCAACACGGAUGGAAAUCGUGUUUUGAGCGUAAUGGUAUAAGGGUGCUUGACUGCGAGACAAACAAGUCGAGCAGGUAGGAAACUAGGCCAUAGUGAUCCGGUGGUCCGGUAUGGAACGGCCAUCGCUCAACGGAUAAAAGCUACUCUGGGGAUAACAGGCUGAUAGUGUCCAAGAGUUCACAUCGACGACACUGUUUGGCACCUCGAUGUCGACUCAUCUCAUCCUGGAGCUGAAGCAGGUUCCAAGGGUUCGGCUGUUCGCCGAUUAAAGAGAUACGUGAGUUGGGUUCAAACCGUCGUGAGACAGGUUGGUCCUUAUCUACAGUUGCUGAAGGAAGAUUGUGAAGAUUUGACCCUAGUACGAGAGGACCGGGUUGAACACACCGCUGGUGUACCAGUUGUCAUGCCCGUGGCACGGCUGGAUAGCUAUGUGUGGAAUAGAUAAACGCUGAAAGCAUCUAAGUGUGAAACUAACUUUUAAACUAAUCUUCCCAUUCGCAAGAAGUAAGAACCGUUGCAGAUAACAACGUUGAUAGGUUGUAAGUGUAAGUGGAGUAAUCCAUUCAGCUAAACAAUACUAAUCGUUCGAGGAUUUACAAC